AGAGUUUGAUCCUGGCUCAGAACGAACGCUGGCGGCAGGCUUAACACAUGCAAGUCGAACGCGUGUAGCAAUACACGAGUGGCGCACGGGUGAGUAACGCGUGGAUAUCUGCCUUUUGGUUCGGAAUAACCCCGGGAAACUGGGGCUAAUACCGGAUGGUUCCUUCGGGAUAAAGAUUUAUCGCCAAAAGAUGAGUCCGCGUACGAUUAGCUAGUUGGUGAGGUAAUGGCUCACCAAGGCGACGAUCGUUAGCUGGUCUGAGAGGACGAUCAGCCACACUGGGACUGAGACGCGGCCCAGACUCCUACGGGAGGCAGCAGUGGGGAAUAUUGGACAAUGGGGGCAACCCUGAUCCAGCCAUGCCGCGUGAGUGAUGAAGGCCUUCGGGUUGUAAAGCUCUUUUGGCGGGGACGAUGAUGACGGUACCCGCAGAAUAGUCC
rnacentral:rRNA from 1 species